rnacentral:rRNA from 1 species
CCAGACUCCUACGGGAGGCAGCAGUGGGGGAUAUUGCACAAUGGGGGAAACCCUGAUGCAGCGACGCCGCGUGAGUGAAGAAGUAUUUCGGUAUGUAAAGCUCUAUCAGCAGGGAAGAAAAUGACAGUACCUGACCAAGAAGCCCCGGCUAACUACGUGCCAGCAGCCGCGGUAAUACGUAGGGGGCAAGCGUUAUCCGGAUUUACUGGGUGUAAAGGGAGCGUAGACGGUUAUGUAAGUCUGGAGUGAAAGCCCGGGGCCCAACCCCGGGACUGCUUUGGAAACUGUGUAACUGGAGUGCAGGAGGGGCAGGCGGAAUUCCUGGUGUAGCGGUGAAAUGCGUAGAUAUCAGGAGGAACACCGGCGGCGAAGGCGGCCUGCUGGACUGAAACUGACGUUGAGGCUCGAAAGCGUGGGGAGCAAACAGGAUUAGAUACCCCAGUAUA